AACUUCUAACUAGGGUUGCCGCGGUGUGGACAUUUUCACACCGAGUAAUACGCUCGUGUCAACACCGGUAUUACCGGUAUAAACGGUAUUAACUUUGAAACUAUAGGUCAACCGCCAUCUUCUCCGUCAACUCUCCUCUCACACUCGGUGACAGCGGCUGGCAGCGCGCCAAUUCUUGGCGUCUUAUAACGUUCUAUAUAUAAUAGUAUAUAUAUAGUAUAAUAUAAUUGUAUAUAUCAUAAUAUCACGGCCAAAAGCUCUGUGCGCCUCCGGAUGGCCGUAGCGCGGGGAGCUCACGUAGGGAUUGGGCUUUGCGGGAGCGACAAUUCUCCCGCACAGAGCAGAACUGUGGCCUAUUCUACACAUGUUAAUUUUCUUAAUUAUAAUUGUAUUAUUCAUUUUUACUGAAUUUGUUUUUUAUUACUGAAAAAAAUAAAAA